AGCGAACGCUGGCGGCAGGCCUAACACAUGCAAGUCGAACGAACUCUUCGGAGUUAGUGGCGGACGGGUGUGUAACACGUGGGAACGUGCCUUUUGGUUCGGAAUAACUCAGGGAAACUUGUGCUAAUACCGAAUGUGCCCUUCGGGGGAAAGAUUUAUCGCCAUUAGAGCGGCCCGCGUCUGAUUAGCUAGUUGGUGAGGUAACGGCUCACCAAGGCGACGAUCAGUAGCUGGUCUGAGAGGAUGACCAGCCACACUGGGACUGAGACACGGCCCAGACUCCUACGGGAGGCAGCAGUGGGGAAUCUUGCGCAAUGGGCGAAAGCCUGACGCAGCCAUGCCGCGUGAAUGAUGAAGGUCUUAGGAUUGUAAAAUUCUUUCACCGGGGACGAUAAUGACGGUACCCGGAGAAGAAGCCCCGGCUAACUUCGUG
rnacentral:rRNA from 1 species